GACAGAGGGUGCAAACGUUGUUCGGAAUUACUGGGCGUAAAGCGCGCGUAGGCAGCAGCGUGUGUCGGGCGUGAAAUCCCACGCUCAACCGUGGAAAGUGCACUCGAAAACUGCGCAGCUAGAGUCUCGGAGAGGGAAAGGCGGAAAUGCUUUGGUGUAGAGGGUGAAAAUUUCGUUAGAUAUCAGGAGGAACACCAGUGGCGAAGGCGGCUUCCUGGACACC
rnacentral:rRNA from 1 species